UAGGGAAUAUUGGACAAUGGGUGCGAGCCUGAUCCAGCCAUGCCGCGUGCAGGAAGACGGCCUUCUGGGUUGUAAACUGCUUUUGCCAGGGGAUAAAAAGUCCCUGCGGGGAAAAUUGAAGGUACCUGGUGAAUAAGCCACGGCUAACUACGUGCCAGCAGCCGCGGUAAUACGUAGGUGGCAAGCGUUGUCCGGAUUUAUUGGGUUUAAAGGGUGCGUAGGCGGUCAAGUAAGUCAGUGGUGAAAUCCG
rnacentral:rRNA from 1 species